rnacentral:rRNA from 1 species
GAUGAACGCUGGCGGCGUGCUUAACACAUGCAAGUCGAACGGAGCACUUAUGACAGAUUCUUCGGGUGAUGGAUUAAGUGACUGAGUGGCGGACGGGUGAGUAACGCGUGGGUAACCUGCCUCAUACAGGGGGAUAACAGUUAGAAAUGACUGCUAAUACCGCAUAAGCGCACAGUACCGCAUGGUACGGUGUGAAAAACUCCGGUGGUAUGAGAUGGACCCGCGUCUGAUUAGCUAGUUGGUGGGGUAACGGCCUACCAAGGCGACGAUCAGUAGCCGACCUGAGAGGGUGACCGGCCACAUUGGGACUGAGACACGGCCCAAA